rnacentral:lncRNA from 1 species
AAUAGCUAUACCAUCGAAACUAUAUAACCUGAUUACAGCAAGGUUCUUCCAUGGAAUUUUGUCAAUUCUGAGAGAUAUUUAGAUAAAUCCCUUAAGUUAAAGAAUAUAACAUUUUUUACUUAAACAAGAGGGAUUUUAUCAAUAUAGCUCAAAAUUUGGAAAUAUUUGCUCUAGAAUAAAGGGCUGCCUAGAAGGGGUGAAGCAAAUUUCGAAUUCUUUAGAGAGCUACACUGCAGGCUAAAUAUUUAUCUGGUUUGGUCACGUGUUACAUAAAAGCAUGGCUUAAUCAAGGAUCGUUCAAUGAGUUCUACAAUGAAGAUACAAUUUUAAGAAAAGUAUUAAGAUAUUAAGACACGAUUGACUGAGUGAAAGACACGAUUUCUGUAGCAAGGCUUAUCAGAAAUCAAGUGCCUGAGAUAAAUAUUUUCUGAGGAAAUGUCUGUAGGAAAAUAAAGGUGAAAAAGAGAUACUUCACAGAGAGUAAAACUGGAAACAAAUUGGAAAAGAUUCUCUUGAAAUGCUGGAAAUAAAAUGCUUUUUAUUAGAAAGCGCAGUUGUUCCUCUGCUGUGUAAACAAAGUUGGUGAAGAUACGUCCUGUUAAACAUAUGAAACUCAAAAAAAGUCUACACGUCUGUCGAAGUCUUAUUAAUGAUGGCCUCAUAAAUAUCCUUUAAGUUGUUCAGAUUUGAUUAAAAUAAGCCAAGGAGAAUUAACUGUUGAAUAUCUACAGUAAAAAGAAGAUGAUGAAAUGUGUCAGUUAAACAUCUGCAGCAGAGUCAACUUGAAAUCAUUAGGAUUUCGGAUAUUUGUGUGUUACAGUAGAUUUGGAUAUGAAAGAUUCUACCACAUGUUGCUGAUGAACCGGUAUGAAAAAAGCUAUCAGAUGCCCACGCAAUCAUUUUCUCUUGCAUGCGCACUCUCUCUGCACAGCAAUGGCAUGCUUAAUUUCUAAAAAGAACCAAAAUAAUAUGACAUAAUAAUGCGAUAAUCUGCAUUAGCGUAUUAAGUCUCUUCUUCGAAAUAUCCUGAUUUCUCAAAUAAAAACAUUUUAAAGAACAUUUUUUGCCAUGCAAAUCAGUGAUAACAUCAUCUACCAGAAAAAAAUAGUUUGCCAGAAAAAAUAGUUUUGUACAAUGUUACACAUAUUUUCUAAUGCAAGUAUUUUGAUGAACUUUAUUGUUUUAUUUUUAUAUUAUGUUUAAUUACAGAUAAAUUUAAAAUGCUGUUGUAAAUUAAGGCAGUUCUAAGAAAAAAUACUAAAGAAUAAAUUGCUGCUUCUAGUUUAAGGAAUUUUAUUAAUAGAAUCAGAAAGUACUUUACAUGUAUCCCUGUUAUGAAAUUUCACUUGUACCCCUGUUAUGAAAUGUUUCAUCGUUGCAUUAAAUAAAUAUUAGA